GCUGACGAUAAUAGCUUGGAGGUCCCACCUGAUCCCUUCCCGAACUCAGAAGUGAAACUCCAAUGCGCCAAUGGUAGUGUGGUUCGCCCAUGUGAGAGUAGGUCAU
rnacentral:rRNA from 1 species